rnacentral:rRNA from 1 species
GACGAACGCUGGCGGCGAGCUUAACACAUGCAAGUCGAACGGUGACCCAGGGCUUGCCCUGGUGAUCAGUGGCGAACGGGUGAGUAACACGUGGGGCAACCUGCCCCUGACUUCGGGAUAACUCCUCGAAAGAGGAGCUAAUACCGGAUACGACCGCUUCGGACAUCCGAUGGUGGUGGAAAGUUUUUCGGUCAGGGAUGGGCCCGCGGCCUAUCAGCUAGUUGGUGGGGUAAUGGCCUACCAAGGCGACGACGGGUAGCCGGCCUGAGAGGGCGACCGGCCACACUGGGACUGAGACACGGCCCAGACUCCUACGGGAGGCAGCAGUGGGGGAAUAUUGCGCAAUGGGCGAAAGCCUGACGCAGCGACGCCGCGUGAGGGA